GCGUGUGUGAGGAAGGUCUUCGGAUUGUGAAGCACUUUAAGUUGGGAGGAAGGGCAGUGAGCUAAUACCUUGCUGUUUUGACGUUACCGACAGAAUAAGCACCGGCUAACUCUGUGCCAGCGGCCGCGGUAAUACAGAGGGUGCAGGCGUUAAUCGGAAUUACUGGGCGUAAGCGCGCGUAGGUGGUUUGUUAGUUGGAUGUGAAGCCCCGGGCUCACCUGGGAACUGCAUCCCAACUGGCAAGCUAGAGUACGGUA
rnacentral:rRNA from 1 species